rnacentral:lncRNA from 1 species
GAUCAGCCCCCUGGAUGUCAGCCAGCUUCAGCCAUCAUUCCCUGACCAGGUGAGUAGCCUGAGCCGGUGUGGGAGGUUUUCUCAGGCUUGCCUGGGGACAGAGAUGUGGGUGAGGUUUAUGGGCAGGCAAAUGUGGCCUCCUGGUUAGACCUCCUGAUUAGCUCUCUCACAUCCAGAGUUUCUACCCCAUCUGAAACAGGGGUAAAUUGACCACUGGAGUCCUCUAAAUUUAAACCCCCAGACUAUGACGUAAUUUAGCCUGCAAGUUACAGUUACUGCUUGUGCUGGCUAAUUUUACAUCAACUCGACACCAGCUAUGUCAUCUAAGAGGAGAGGACCUCAAUUGAGAAAGUGCUUCCAUAAGAUUGGCCUGUAGGCAAGCCUACAGAGCAUUUUCUUAAUUAGUGAUUGAUGGGCCACGCCCAUUGUGGGUGGUACCACCCAAGGGCUGGUGGUCCUGGGUUCUAUAAGAAAGAAGGCUGAGCAAGCCAUGAAGAACAAACCAACAAGCAGCAUGCCUCCAAGUGACCUUGGCAUCAGCUCCUGCCUCCAGGUUCCUUCCCUGUUUGAGUUCCUGUCCCGACUUCCUUCAGUGAUAUACUAUGGUGUGGAACUGUAAGCUGAAUAAACCCUUUCUCCCCAUCUCCCUUUCGGUCAUGGAGUUUCCUCACAUUAAUAGUAUUCCAUUCUUUCUUUUCUGGGCAGGGCUCUAGGUUAGGGUACAAAAGAGGGCUUCU